GAUCUAUUAGUUCAGUUAAUUAGAGCGUCGUGUUAACAACUAUGAAAGUCACAGGUUCGAAUCCUGCAUGGGUUA
rfam:Glycine max cultivar Williams 82 chromosome 6, whole genome shotgun sequence.